UCGGGAAUUUUGGGCAAUGGGCGAAAGCCUGACCCAGCAACGCCGCGUGAAGGAUGAAGUCUUUCGGGAUGUAAACUUCGUAAGAAUAGGAAGAAUAAAUGACGGUACUAUUUGUAAGGUCCGGCUAACUACGUGCCAGCAGCCGCGGUAAUACGUAGGGACCAAGCGUUGUUCGGAUUUACUGGGCGUAAAGGGCGCGUAGGCGGUUUGUCAAGUCAGUUGUGAAAUCUCCGAGCUUAACUCGGAACGGUCAACUGAUACUGUCAAACUAGAGUACAGAAGGGGCAAUCGGAAUUCUUGGUGUAGCGGUGAAAUGCGUAGAUAUCAAGAGGAACACCUGAGGUGAAGACGGGUUGCUGGGCUGAUACUGACGCUGAGGCGCGAAAGCUAGGGUAGCAAA
rnacentral:rRNA from 1 species